GAUGAACGCUGGCGGCGUGCCUAAUACAUGCAAGUCGGGCGAACAGACGAGGAGCUUGCUCCUCUGACGUUAGCGGCGGACGGGUGAGUAACACGUGGAUAACCUACCUAUAAGACUGGGAUAACUUCGGGAAACCGGAGCUAAUACCGGAUAAUAUAUUGAACCGCAUGGUUCAAUAGUGAAAGACGGUUUUGCUGUCACUUAUAGAUGGAUCCGCGCCGCAUUAGCUAGUUGGUAAGGUAACGGCUUACCAAGGCGACGAUGCGUAGCCGACCUGAGAGGGUGAUCGGCCACACUGGAACUGAGACACGGUCCAGACUCCUACGGGAGGCAGCAGUAGGGAAUCUUCCGCAAUGGGCGAAAGCUUGACGGAGCAACGCCGCGUGAGUGAUGAAGGUCUUCGGAUCGUAAAACUCUGUUAUUAGGGAAGAACAAAUGUGUAAGUAACUAUGCACGUCUUGACGGUACCUAAUCAGAAAGCCACGGCUAACUACGUG
rnacentral:rRNA from 1 species